rnacentral:lncRNA from 1 species
AGUUUUAAAAAUGUAAGUUUCUCUGCACAAGCUCUCUUUUUGCCUGCUGCCAUCCACGUAAGAUGUGACUUGCACCUCCUUGUCUUCUGCCACGAUUGUGAGGCUUCCCCAGCCAUGUGGAACUACAUCUACCCCUGGAGAAAGAGCCCAAUGAGAAGUAAUCUCUGAAGCCCAGAUUUCCUAAGGAUGAAGCUUCAGGAGAGGCCUUAUCAAUCCUGACAACAAACUUUUCUCGUCAAUUUAGUUUCAUUUAAUGGAAGUUUUAAAUGUGUAAAGUUCAGAAGGCUAUUAAAAUUGGUUCCAGCUAUCUAAGAUACACACACAACCACACACGCGCACACACGAAUACAAAUAUGCCUUCCCAAUCAUCUCCCAAAGUCUCAACUCAUUCCAGCGUUAACUCAAAGACCAAAAUUCAAAGUCUCAUCUGAAACAAGGUGUUGCCAAAGGAGAUUAUUAUUUGAGUCAGAGGACUGGGAGAAGCAGACCUACCCUCGAUCUGGGUGGGUGUCAUCUAGUCAGCUGCCAGUGUGGCUAGAAUGAAGCAGGCAGAAGUUGGAAAGAGCAGACCUGCUGAGUCUUCUGGCCCUCACCGUUCUCCCGUGCUGGAUUCUUCUGGCCCUCAAACAUCAGACUCCACGUUCUUCAGCUUUUGGACUCAUGGACUUACACCAGUGGUGUGCCAGGGCCUCUUGAGCCUUUGGUCACAGACUGAAGGCUACACUGUCAGCUUCUCUAAUUUUGAGGUUUUGGGACUCAGACUGAUCCACCACUGGCUUCCUUGCUCCUCAACUUGCAGAUGGCUUCUCACGGGACUUGACUUUAUGAUCAUACUUGGCCAAUAAGAUGUUCCUGCCUAAGACUUUGAAUCUGGAAUGGGGAACACAGAGAACAUGAGCAACGAAGAAUUAUUCACAGCACAGCACAGCAGUGCUGACAGCAUCGACAGUCCUGUGGUGCCAGCAAGAAUCCAAAAGAAGUGUCCUACAUAAAUUCCCUUAAUCACUGACCAUUUAAUGAGGCUGAUUCAGCCUCAUACAAAUUUUGUAUGCUUCUUCAUACAAUUUUUAAUUGUGCUGUAAAAGUUAACCAGAGACAAUUUCUGUUGCUUGCACACAGUAAGUUGACUAAGCAAAAAAAUUCAGGAGAGAUUAUUUUAUAGAAGUCAAUGCAAAUGCAUUAAUUUACAAGAAGUGAAACUGCAAGUUCACUUUGCUGCCUUAUGGCCAGCAUAUUCUCUUACAAGGGAAGUCUAUAUGGCAAUCUGUGUUAUGAUCAGAAGAUUUGGGAAAGAUGGAAUCUGUGAGAGAGUUUUAUGACACACGGUUACAACUGAUCACAGGAUCAAACACUAAAACUCCAAUAUAUAUAUUUAUUCUUAUUAGCAAAGCUUUUAUGCUAUGGAGGAAAAAGAAAAAGAAAUAAGAAAUUCUGAGUUUCUCUAAACUUCCAGUAUGUGGAUGAGUUAAAAACUAUGUCAUCUUGGAUUCCCCAUUUUAAAUAUUUCAUAAUAAUGCAUUAUAAUUGGUACAUGUUAAUAUCAAUUUUUUCUUUUGCUGUUUUUGAAGUGGUGUGAAUCACCUGUAACAAGGUUUCCUUAUCAUCCAUUUAAUUAUUGUCCUAUAAUAUACUUUUCAAUACAGCAACUACUUUUUAUGUUUUGGGAUUACUUUUACUAUUGUUAGAUAAAACCUAUGGUUGAUUGUGUGCCUCUAGAAGAACUUCAAAAGUACAAUAUAAAUCUUGCUAACAAU